UACAGAGGUCCCGAGCGUUGUUCGGAUUCACUGGGCGUAAAGGGCGCGUAGGCGGCGUGGUAAGUCAGCUGUGAAAUCUCCGAGCUUAACUCGGAACGGUCAGCUGAUACUGCUGUGCUAGAGUACAGAAGGGGCAAUCGGAAUUCUUGGUGUAGCGGUGAAAUGCGUAGAUAUCAAGAGGAACACCUGAGGUGAAGACGGGUUGCUGGGCUGAUACUGACGCUGAAGCGCGAAAGCUAGGGUAGCGAACGGG
rnacentral:rRNA from 1 species